GACGAACGCUGGCGGCGUGCUUAACACAUGCAAGUCGAACGGAAAGGCCCUGCUUGCAGGGUACUCGAGUGGCGAACGGGUGAGUAACACGUGGGUGAUCUGCCCUGCACUUCGGGAUAAGCUUGGGAAACUGGGUCUAAUACCGGAUAGGAGCCAUCUUUAGUGUGGUGGUUGGAAAGUUUUUUCGGUGUAGGAUGAGCUCGCGGCCUAUCAGCUUGUUGGUGGGGUAAUGGCCUACCAAGGCGGUGACGGGUAGCCGGCCUGAGAGGGUGUACGGCCACAUUGGGACUGAGAUACGGCCCAGACUCCUACGGGAGGCAGCAGUGGGGAAUAUUGCACAAUGGGCGCAAGCCUGAUGCAGCGACGCCGCGUGGGGGAUGAAGGCCUUCGGGUUGUAAACUCCUUUCGCUAGGGACGAAGCUUUUUUGUGACGGUACCUAGAUAAGAAGCACCGGCUAACUACGUG
rnacentral:rRNA from 1 species